rnacentral:rRNA from 1 species
AUUGAACGCUGGCGGAAUGCUUUACACAUGCAAGUCGAACGGCAGCACGGACUUCGGUCUGGUGGCGAGUGGCGAACGGGUGAGUAAUGUAUCGGAACGUGCCCAGUCGUGGGGGAUAACGUAGUGAAAAUUACGCUAAUACCGCAUACGAUCUAUGGAUGAAGGCGGGGGAUCGCAAGACCUCGCGCGAUUGGAGCGGCCGAUAUCAGAUUAGGUAGUUGGUGGGGUAAAGGCCCACCAAGCCAACGGUCUGUAGCUGGUCUGAGAGGACGACCAGCCACACUGGAACUGAGACACGGUCCAGACUCCUACGGGAGGCAGCAGUGGGGAAUUUUGGACAAUGGGCGAAAGCCUGAUCCAGCCAUUCCGCGUGCAGGAUGAAGGCCCUCGGGUUGUAAACUGCUUUUGUACAGAACGAAAAGGUUUCUACUAAUACUAGGAGCUCAUGACGGUACUGUAAGAAUAAGCACCAGCUAACUACGUGCCAGCCGCCGCCGUAA